AUUCAACUGACGAGUCCCAAAUAGGAUGAAACGCGCGUUUCCAUAU
rnacentral:hammerhead_ribozyme from 1 species